rnacentral:pre_miRNA from 1 species
CGUACCACAAGUGCGUUUGCCUUUAAUUAUUUCGUAAACGAGGUAAAUGCAUUCUUCUGGUAUCGUC